rnacentral:rRNA from 1 species
GACGAACGCUGGCGGCGUGCCUAAUACAUGCAAGUCGAACGCAGUGGGGACGGGUGAGUAACACGUGGGUGACCUCCCAUCAGAGGGGAUAACCCUUGGAAACAGCUGCUAAACCGAUACUGAUGGAUGUACCCGCGGGGAAUUAGCUAGUUGGUGGGGUCACGGCUCACCAAGGCCACGAUGCAUAGCCGACCUGAGAGGGUGAUCGGCCACACUGGGACUGAGACACGGCCCAGACUCCUACGGGAGGCAGCAGUAGGGAAGCGUCUGCAAUGGACGAAAGUCUGACCGAGCAACGCCGCGUGAGUGAAGAAGGUUUUCGGAUCGUAAAACUCUGUUGUUAGAGAAGCGGUAUCUAACCAGAAAGCCACGGCUAACUACGUGCCAGCCGCCGCGGUAAUAC